rnacentral:rRNA from 1 species
UACGUAGGGUGCAAGCGUUGUCCGGAAUUAUUGGGCGUAAAGAGCUCGUAGGCGGUCUGUCGCGUCUGCUGUGAAAACCUAGGGCUUAACUACUGGGCGUGCAGUGGGUACGGGCAGGCUAGAGUGCGGUAGGGGAGACUGGAAUUCCUGGUGUAGCGGUGAAAUGCGCAGAGUAAUCAGGAGGAACACCGGUGGCGAAGGCGGGUCUCCUGGGCCGUAACUGAACGCUGGAGGAGCGAAAGCAUGGGA